UACGAAGGGGACUAGCGUUGUACGGAUUUACUGGGCGUAAAGCGCGCGUAGGCGGAUCGCUAAGUCAGGGGUGAAAUCCCAGGGCUCAACCCUGGAACUGCCUUUGAUACUGACGAUCUGGAGAUCGGGAGAGGUUGGUGGAAUUCCGAGUGUAGAGGUGAAAUUCGUAGAUAUUCGGAGGAACACCAGAAGCGAAGGCGGCCAACUGGCCCGAUACUGACGCUGAGGCGCGAAAGCGUGGGGAGCAAACAGG
rnacentral:rRNA from 1 species